GACAGAGGGUGCAAACGUUGUUCGGAAUUACUGGGCGUAAAGCGCGUGUAGGCGACCCUGCAAGUCGGAUGUGAAAUCCCACGGCUCAACCGUGGAAGUGCAUUCGAAACUGCAGGGCUAGAGUCCUGGAGAGGAAGGUGGAAUGCUUGGUGUAGAGGUGAAAUUCGUAGAUAUCAAGCGGAACACCGGUGGCGAAGGCGGCCUUCUGGACAGUGACUGACGCUGAGACGCGAAAGCGUGGGGAAACAAACAGGG
rnacentral:rRNA from 1 species